rnacentral:rRNA from 1 species
AAACUGGAGAUGGCGACCGGCGCACGGGUGAGUAACACGUAUCCAACCUGCCGAUAACUCGGGGAUAGCCUUUCGAAAGAAAGAUUAAUACCCGAUGGCAUAAUAGAACCGCAUGGUUUGAUUAUUAAAGAAUUUCGGUUAUCGAUGGGGAUGCGUUCCAUUAGGCAGUUGGUGGGGUAACGGCCACCAAACCUUCGAUGGAUAGGGGUUCUGAGAGGAAGGUCCCCCACAUUGGAACUGAGACACGGUCCAAACUCCUACGGGAGGCAGCAUG